rnacentral:rRNA from 1 species
UUGUCUCUCUUGAGUGGAUCCUGAGUACGACGGAGCACGUGAAAUUCCGUCGGAAUCUGGGAGGACCAUCUCCUAAGGCUAAAUACUCUCUAGUGACCGAUAGUGAACCAGUACCGUGAGGGAAAGGUGAAAAGCACCCCGGAAGGGGAGUGAAAUAGAACCUGAAACCGUGUGCUUACAAGUAGUCAGAGCCCGUUAAUGGGUGAUGGCGUGCCUUUUGUAGAAUGAACCGGCGAGUUACGAUUUGAUGCAAGGUUAAGCAGUAAAUGUGGAGCCGUAGCGAAAGCGAGUCUGAAUAGGGCGUUUAGUAUUUGGUCGUAGACCCGAAACCAGGUGAUCUACCCUUGGUCAGGUUGAAGUUCAGGUAACACUGAAUGGAGGACCGAACCGACUUACGUUGAAAAGUGAGCGGAUGAACUGAGGGUAGCGGAGAAAUUCCAAUCGAACCUGGAGAUAGCUGGUUCUCUCCGAAAUAGCUUUAGGGCUAGCCUCAAGUGAUGAUUAUUGGAGGUAGAGCACUGUUUGGACGAGGGGCCCCUCUCGGGUUACCGAAUUCAGACAAACUCCGAAUGCCAAUUAAUUUAACUUGGGAGUCAGAACAUGGGUGAUAAGGUCCGUGUUCGAAAGGGAAACAGCCCAGACCACCAGCUAAGGUCCCAAAAUAUAUGUUAAGUGGAAAAGGAUGUGGCGUUGCCCAGACAACUAGGAUGUUGGCUUAGAAGCAGCCAUCAUUUAAAGAGUGCGUAAUAGCUCACUAGUCGAGUGACACUGCGCCGAAAAUGUACCGGGGCUA